AUUGAACGCUGGCGGCAGGCCUAACACAUGCAAGUCGAACGAGUGGCGGACGGGUGAGUAAUGUCUGGGAAACUGCCUGAUGGAGGGGGAUAACUACUGGAAACGGUAGCUAAUACCGCAUACCAUCGGAUGUGCCCAGAUGGGAUUAGCUAGUGGGGGGGGUAAAGGCUCACCUAGGCGACGAUCCCUAGCUGGUCUGAGAGGAGGACCAGCCAAACUGGAACUGAGACACGGGCCAGACUCCUACGGGAGGCAGCAGUGGGGAAUAUUGCACAAUGGGCGCAAGCCUGAUGCAGCCAUGCCGCGUGUAUGAAGAAUGCCUUCGGGUUGUAAAGUACUGUCAGUGGGGAGGCGUUACAAGCAGAAGAAGCACCGGCUAACUCCGUGCCAGCAGCCGCGGUAAUUC
rnacentral:rRNA from 1 species